rnacentral:rRNA from 1 species
AGUGAACGCUGGCGGUAGGCCUAACACAUGCAAGUCGAACGGCAGCACAGGAGAGCUUGCUCUCUGGGUGGCGAGUGGCGGACGGGUGAGGAAUACAUCGGAAUCUACUUUUUCGUGGGGGAUAACGUAGGGAAACUUACGCUAAUACCGCAUACGACCUACGGGUGAGAGCAGGGGACCUUCGGGCCUUGCGCGAUUGAAUGAGCCGAUGUCGGAUUAGCUAGUUGGCGGGGUAAAGGCCCACCAAGGCGACGAUCCGUAGCUGGUCUGAGAGGAUGAUCAGCCACACUGGAACUGAGACACGGUCCAGACUCCGACGGGAGGCAGCAGUGGGGAAUAUUGGACAAUGGGCGCAAGCCUGAUCCAGCCAUACCGCGUGGGUGAAGAAGGCCUUCGGGUUGUAAAGCCCUUUUGUUGGGAAAGAAAUCCAGCUGGUUAAUACCCGGUUGGGAUGACGGUACCCAAAGAAUAAGCACCGGCUAACUUCGUGCCAGCCGCCGCCGUAA